GCCGGGGUGGCGAAACGGUAGACGCAGAGGACUUAAAAUCUCCUGGGAGCAAUCCCGUGUGGGUUCGAAUCCCACCCCCGGCA
rnacentral:tRNA from 1 species